rnacentral:rRNA from 1 species
UACGUAGGGCGCAAGCGUUGUCCGGAAUUAUUGGGCGUAAAGAGCUCGUAGGUGGUCUGUUGCGUCCGCUGUGAAAACCCAGGGCUUAACCCUGGGCUGGCAGUGGAUACGGGCAGACUAGAGGUAGGUAGGGGAGAAUGGAAUUCCCGGUGUAGCGGUGAAAUGCGCAGAUAUCGGGAAGAACACCCGUGGCGAAGGCGGCUCUCUGGGACGGUACUGACGCUGAGACGCGAAAGCGUGGGGAGCGAACAGG